rnacentral:rRNA from 1 species
UACGUAGGGUGCAAGCGUUAAUCGGAAUACUGGGCGUAAAGCGUGCGCAGGCGGCUUUGCAAGACAGAUGUGAAAUCCCCGGGCUUAACCUGGGAACUGCAUUUGUGACUGCAUGGCUGGAGUGCGGCAGAGGGGGAUGGAAUUCCGCGUGUAGCAGUGAAAUGCGUAGAUAUGCGGAGGAACACCGAUGGCGAAGGCAAUCCCCUGGGCCUGCACUGACGCUCAUGCACGAAGCGUGGGGAGCAACAGG